GCCACAAAAGCCGAUUGAGUUGGU
rnacentral:siRNA from 1 species